CUUUGCGGCUGCUACCAUGCAAGUCGAACGUGAUCCGCCCUUCGGGGUGGUGAAAGUGGCGCACGGGUGAGUAACGCGUGGAUAAUCUGCCCGAGGAUUUGGGAUAACAUCUCGAAAGGGGUGCUAAUACCGAAUAAGCCCACGGGGUCUACGGAUCUUGCGGGAAAAGGGGGGGACCUUCGGGCCUCCUGUCCUUGGAUGAGUCUGCGUACCAUUAGCUAGUUGGUGGGGUAAUGGCCUACCAAGGCGACGAUGGUUAGCUGGUCUGAGAGGAUGAUCAGCCACACUGGAACUGAGACACGGUCCAGACUCCUACGGGAGGCAGCAGUGGGGAAUUUUGCGCAAUGGGGGAAACCCUGACGCAGCAACGCCGCGUGGGUGAUGAAGGCCUUCGGGUCGUAAAGCUCUGUCUGGAGGGAAGAAAUGAUUGGGAGCUAAUACCUCUUGAUCUUGACGGUACCUCUGAAGGAAGCACCGGCUAACUCCGUGCCAGCAGCCGCGGUAAUACGGAGGGUGCAAGCGUUGUUCGGAAUUAUUGGGCGUAAAGCGCGUGUAGGCGGUCUUUUAAGUCUGAUGUGAAAGCCCCGGGCUCAACCUGGGAAGUGCAUUGGAAACUGGGAGGCUUGAGUACGGGAGAGGAGAGUGGAAUUCCUAGUGUAGGAGUGAAAUCCGUAGAUAUUAGGAGGAACACCGGUGGCGAAGGCGGCUCUCUGGACCGAUACUGACGCUGAGACGCGAAAGCGUGGGUAGCAAACAGGAUUAGAUACCCUGGUAGUCCACGCCGUAAACGAUGAGUACUAGUGUUGCGGGUAUUGACCCC
rnacentral:rRNA from 1 species